rnacentral:lncRNA from 1 species
GCCCCACUACAUCCCAUUUGGAUUGAAAAAAGUUUGCAGAGAAACCGUCGGGUCUUGGUGCUUUGUCUGGAUGGAUGGCAAUACAUGUACGCUUAAUUGCUUAUUCCUCGUCUUUAUUCUCUGUAUCGGCAGUGUAAAAGAUAUAUGAGGUUUUAUAUAUAUGAGAGGGAGGGAGAAGCCUGACACAAAGGCAUUAUGUGUAUUUUAUGUGUCUAAUAUUAUGUGACAUAUUAAAGUAAGGAUAAAUUAAAUAUAGCUACACGAAAACAGUUAAAAUCUAUAAAAUUAUAAAAUUAAGACUUUGAUAUUUUAAUAAUUUAUAAAAUUAUUAUUUUGAAAAAAAAGUAUAGCAACAACUUUUAUAUUGCAAAGAUGAAUAUUUGUUGUAUGACUGUUUGUCUUACCACGUCUAGUUGUAGAGUUUUUUUUUUAGAAAUUUGCUAAUAAAGAACAAAAAAACUUAUUAAUUGUCCCCUUAGAAUAGUAUUAGGGAUUUUUGUCCACUUAGAACUAAUGUUAAGGUAAACCCAAUUUUAACCCUCUAAUUAUACAAUUUUUUUUUUAAAAAAAAAACUAAUUUUCAUAGUCCCAUUUACUCAUUAUUUACCCGACUUCAAAAACACGGUUUACCCGUCGCAGAGUUUUCAAGUAUUCUCGCCGGCGUAUCUUCGUUCGUCACCUCCACCUCUCUCUUAAUGACCCACCCGGAAAACUCUGAUAAAUCCUCUCUCUGGCAUCUCUUGAAUAUCUAGUUUCAUCUUUUGUGAGUUUAAAGGUGAAUUUUCGUUAUUUGGUUGUUUGCCUUUGUACAGAGAAAUCGCACGGAUGAUCUGAUGAACAAA